rnacentral:rRNA from 1 species
UCGAGGGGCAGCACAGGUAGCAAUACCGGGUGGCGACCGGCGCACGGGUGAGUAACGCGUAUGCAACUUGCCUAUCAGAGGGGGAUAACCCGGCGAAAGUCGGACUAAUACCGCAUGAAGCAGGGGCCCCGCAUGGGGAUAUUUGCUAAAGAUUCAUCGCUGAUAGAUAGGCAUGCGUUCCAUUAGGCAGUUGGCGGGGUAACGGCCCACCAAACCGACGAUGGAUAGGGGUUCUGAGAGGAAGGUCCCCCACAUUGGUACUGAGACACGGACCAAACUCCUACGGGAGGCAGCAGUGAGGAAUAUUGGUCAAUGGGCGUAAGCCUGAACCAGCCAAGUCGCGUGAGGGAUGAAGGUUCUAUGGAUCGUAAACCUCUUUUAUAAGGGAAUAAAGUGCGGGACGUGUCCCGUUUUGUAUGUACCUUAUGAAUAAGGAUCGGCUAACUCCGUGCCAGCAGCCGCGGUAAUACGGAGGAUCCGAGCGUUAUCCGGAUUUAUUGGGUUUAAAGGGUGCGUAGGCGGCCUUUAAAGUCAGCGGUGAAAGUCUGUGGCUCAACCAUAGAAUUGCCGUUGAAACUGGGAGGCUUGAGUAUGUUUGAGGCAGACGGAAUGCGUGGUGUAGCGGUGAAAUGCUUAGAUAUCACGCAGAACCCCGAUUGCGAAGGCAGCCUGCCAAGCCAUUACUGACGCUGAUGCACGAAAGCGUGGGGAUCAAACAGGAUUAGAUACCCUGGUAGUCCACGCAGUAAACGAUGAUCACUAGCUGUUUGCGAUACACUGUAAGCGGCACAGCGAAAGCGUUAAGUGAUCCACC